CCAGACUCCUACGGAGGCAGCAGUGGGGAAUCUUCCGCAAUGGACGAAAGUCUGACGGAGCAACGCCGCGUGAGUGAUGACGGCCUUCGGGUUGUAAAGCUCUGUUAAUCGGGACGAAAGGCCUUCUUGCGAAUAGUGAGAAGGAUUGACGGUACCGGAAUAGAAAGCCACGGCUAACUACGUGCCAGCAGCCGCGGUAAUACGUAGGUGGCAAGCGUUGUCCGGAAUUAUUGGGCGUAAAGCGCGCGCAGGCGGAUAGGUCAGUCUGUCUUAAAAGUUCGGGGCUUAACCCCGUGAUGGGAUGGAAACUGCCAAUCUAGAGUAUCGGAGAGGAAAGUGGAAUUCCUAGUGUAGCGGUGAAAUGCGUAGAUAUUAGGAAGAACACCAGUGGCGAAGGCGACUUUCUGGACGAAAACUGACGCUGAGGCGCGAAAGCCAGGGGAGCGAACGGGAUUAGAUACCCCGGUAGUCCUGGCCGUAAACGAUGGGUACUAGGUGUAGGAGGUAUCGACCCCUUCUGUGCCGGAGUUAACGCAAUAAGUACCCCGCCUGGGGAGUACGACCGCAAGGUUGAAACUCAAAGGAAUUGACGGGGGCCCGCACAAG
rnacentral:rRNA from 1 species